GGAUUCACCACCAGACUGGGAAGCAACACCUUGGGCUCAAGAGUUGGUCAUCCAUCCUUGCACAGAUAAGGAGAGAUGGAGUUUCGCUCGUUGCCCAGACUGGACAAGUGCAAUGGUGCAAUCUCAGCUCACUGCAACCUCUGCCUCCCAGGUUCAAGCGAUUUUCCUGCCUCAGCCUCCCAAGUAGCUGGGAUUACAGGAACCUGCCACCAUGCUUGGCUAAUUUUUUUCUAUUUUUAGUAGAGACCAGGCGGCCUACCUCAGCAUCUUAACGUGUUGGGAUUACAGGCCUGAGCCACCACACCCAGCCUCGUGUAUUUUGGAGAUAGGGUCUCACUCUGUCAACCAGGUUGAUUUGCUGGGUUCACUGCUGCCCGAACCUCCCAAACUCAGAUGAUCCUCUCAUUUCAGCCUCUCAAGUAGCUGGAUUACAAGUAUGUGCCAUCACACCCAGCUACCUUUUUUGUAUUCUUUGCUGAGACAGAGUUUUGCCAUACUGCCCAUUCUGCUCUUGAACUCCUGGGAUCAAGUGAUCAGCCUACCUUGGCCUUACAAAGUCCUACGAUUACAUUUCAUUUUAUUAAAUAGUUUAAUUAAUUUAUAUUUAAAAUGAUUGCUUAAAGAAAUGAAGUUGUUAUUGCCAGUUAUAUUGUUAUUGUUUUAUGUGUUUUUAGUAGUAUAUUUCCCUCAUUUCCUUUUUUACUUUCUUAAAUUUAAUUUAAUUAAUUAAUUAAUUAAUUAUUAUUAUACUUUAAGUUUUAGGGUACAUGUGCACAAUGUGCAGGUUAGUUACAUAUCUAUACAUGUGACAUGCUGGUGCGCAGCACCCACUAACUCGUCAUCUAGCAUUAGGUAUAUCUUCCAAUGCUAUCCCUCCCCCCUCCCCCCACCCCACAACAGUCCCCAGAGUGUGAUGUUCCCCUUCCUGUGUCCAUGUGUUCUCAUUGUUCAAUUCCCACCUAUGAGUGAGAAUAUGUGGUGUUUGGUUUUUUUGUUCUUGCAAUAGUUUACUGAGAAUGAUGAUUUCCAAUCUCAUCCAUGUCCCUACAAAGGACAUGAACUCAUCAUUUUUUAUAGCUGCAUAAUAUUUCAUGGUGUAUAUGUGCCACAUUUUCUUAAUCCAGUCUAUCAUUGUUGGACAUUUGGCUUGGUUCCAAGUCUUUGCUAUUGUGAAUAAUGCCACAAUAAACAUACGUGUGCAUGUGUCUUUAUAGCAG
rnacentral:lncRNA from 10 species